GCUUAACACAUGCAAGUCGAGCGGGCGUAGCAAUACGUCAGCGGCAGACGGGUGAGUAACGCGUGGGAACAUACCUUUUGGUUCGGAACAACACAGGGAAACUUGUGCUAAUACCGGAUAAGCCCUUACGGGGAAAGAUUUAUCGCCGAAAGAUUGGCCCGCGUCUGAUUAGCUAGUUGGUGAGGUAACGGCUCACCAAGGCGACGAUCAGUAGCUGGUCUGGGAGGAUGAUCAGCCACAUUGGGACUGAGACACGGCCCAAACUCCUACGGGAGGCAGCAGUGGGGAAUAUUGGACAAUGGGCGCAAGCCUGAUCCAGCCAUGCCGCGUGAGUGAUGAAGGCCCUAGGGUUGUAAAGCUCUUUUGUGCGGGAAGAUAAUGACGGUACCGCAAGAAUAAGCCCCGGCUAACUUCGUGCCAGCAGCCGCGGUAAUACGAAGGGGGCUAGCGUUGCUCGGAAUCACUGGGCGUAAAGGGUGCGUAGGCGGGUCUUUAAGUCAGGGGUGAAAUCCUGGAGCUCAACUCCAGAACUGCCUUUGAUACUGAAGAUCUUGAGUUCGGGAGAGGUGAGUGGAACUGCGAGUGUAGAGGUGAAAUUCGUAGAUAUUCGCAAGAACACCAGUGGCGAA
rnacentral:rRNA from 1 species